GACGAACGCUGGCGGCGUGCUUAACACAUGCAAGUCGAACGGAAAGACCCUGCUUUUGUGGGGUGCUCGAGUGGCGAACGGGUGAGUAACACGUGAGUAACCUGCCCUUGACUUUGGGAUAACUUCAGGAAACUGGGGCUAAUACCGGAUAGGAGCUCCUGCUGCAUGGUGGGGGUUGGAAAGUUUCGGCGGUUGGGGAUGGACUCGCGGCUUAUCAGCUUGUUGGUGGGGUAGUGGCUUACCAAGGCUUUGACGGGUAGCCGGCCUGAGAGGGUGACCGGCAACAUUGGGACUGAGAUACGGCCCAGACUCCUACGGGAGGCAGCAGUGGGGAAUAUUGCACAAUGGGCGGAAGCCUGAUGCAGCAACGCCGCGUGCGGGAUGACGGCCUUCGGGUUGUAAACCGCUUUCGCCUGUGACGAAGCGUGAGUGACGGUAAUGGGUAAAGAAGCACCGGCUAACUACGUG
rnacentral:rRNA from 1 species